GUUCGGUAGGUAAGGCUCCUGCCGGGAUAUGGGCUGUUGCCGCGAAAUGGUGGAGACACCAUGAGUUGGUUUGAACAGGGUGCGUCGAAGACAAGGCGCACCAUAACACAGCUUCACCGCCCGGCAGUGUCAAAGCUCACACGGA
rnacentral:sRNA from 1 species